rnacentral:rRNA from 1 species
AGUUUGAUCCUGGCUCAGGAUGAACGCUGGCGGCGUGCCUAACACAUGCAAGUCGAACGAAGCACCUUACUUGAUUCUUCGGAUGAAGGUCUGGUGACUGAGUGGCGGACGGGUGAGUAACGCGUGGGUAACCUGCCCUGUACAGGGGGAUAACAGCUGGAAACGGCUGCUAAUACCGCAUAAGCGCACGAAGAGACAUCUCCUAGUGUGAAAAACUCCGGUGGUACAGGAUGGGCCCGCGUCUGAUUAGCUGGUUGGCAGGGUAACGGCCUACCAAGGCAACGAUCAGUAGCCGGUCUGAGAGGAUGAACGGCCACAUUGGAACUGAGACACGGUCCAAACUCCUACGGGAGGCAGCAGUGGGGAAUAUUGCACAAUGGGCGAAAGCCUGAUGCAGCGACGCCGCGUGAAGGAUGAAGUUUUUCGGUAUGUAAACUUCUAUCAGCAGGGAAGAAAAUGACGGUACUUGACUAAGAAGCCCCGGCUAACUACGUGCCAGCAGCCGCGGUAAUACGUAGGUGGCAAGCGUUAUCCGGAUUUACUGGGUGUAAAGGGAGCGCAGACGGCUGUGCAAGUCUGAAGUGAAAUGCAUGGGCUCAACCUGUGGACUGCUUUGGAAACUGUGCAUCUAGAGUGUCGGAGAGGUAAGUGGAAUUCCUAGUGUAGCGGUGAAAUGCGUAGAUAUUAGGAGGAACACCAGUGGCGAAGGCGGCUUACUGGACGAUGACUGACGUUGAGGCUCGAAAGCGUGGGGAGCAAACAGGAUUAGAUACCCUGGUAGUCCACGCCGUAAACGAUGACUGCUAGGUGUCGGGUUGCAAACCCUAUUUGGUGCCGCAGCUAGUGCAAUAAGCAGUCCACCUGGGGAGUAGGUUUGCAAGAAUGAAACUCAAAGGAAUAGACGGGGAUCCGCACAAGAGGUGGAGCAUGUGGUUUAAUUAGAAGCAACGCGAAGAACCUUACGUGAUCUUGACAUCCCGAUGAGCGCUUCGUAAUGGAAGUUUUUCUUCGGAACAUCGGUGACAGGUGGUGCAUGGUUGUGGUCAGCUACGUGUCGUGAGAUGUUGGGUUAAGUCCUGCAACGAGCGCCACCCUUAUCUUCAGUAGCCAGCAUUUAGGAUGGGCACUCUGGAGAGAAUGCCAGGGAUAACCUGGAGGAAGGCGGGGAAGAUGUCAAAUCAUCAUGCCCUUUAUGACCAGGGCUACACACGUGCAACAAUGGUGUAAACAAAGGGAAGCAGAGCCGAGAGCCGGAGCAAAUCUCAAAAAUAACGUGUCAGUUAGGAAGGUAGUAAGCAACUAGACUACAAGAAGCUGGAAUCGCUAGUAAUCGCAGAUCAGAAUGAGGCGGUGAACAAGUUCCCGGCUCUAGCACACACCGCCCGUCA